CGGGACGGGUGAGUAAUGCUUGGGAAUCUAGCUUAUGAGGGGGAGUAACUACGGAAAACUGUAGCUAAUACCGCGUAAUAUCGAAAGAUUAAAGUGUGGGACCUUCGGGCCACAUGCCAUAGGAUGAGCCCAAGUGGGAUUAGGUAGUUGGUGAGGUAAAGGCUCACCAAGCCGACGAUCUCUAGCUGGUCUGAGAGGAUGACCAGCCACACUGGGACUGAGACACGGCCCAG
rnacentral:rRNA from 1 species